rnacentral:rRNA from 1 species
AUUGAACGCUGGCGGCAUGCUUUACACAUGCAAGUCGAACGGCAGCGCGGGCUUCGGCCUGGCGGCGAGUGGCGAACGGGUGAGUAAUGCAUCGGAACGUGCCCAGUAGUGGGGGAUAGCCCGGCGAAAGCCGGAUUAAUACCGCAUACGACCUGAGGGUGAAAGCGGGGGACCGAAAGGCCUCGCGCUAUUGGAGCGGACGAUGUCGGAUUAGCUAGUUGGUGGGGUAAAGGCUUACCAAGGCGACGAUCCGUAGCUGGUCUGAGAGGACGACCAGCCACACUGGGACUGAGACACGGCCCAGACUCCUACGGGAGGCAGCAGUGGGGAAUUUUGGACAAUGGGGGCAACCCUGAUCCAGCCAUGCCGCGUGCGGGAAGAAGGCCUUCGGGUUGUAAACCGCUUUUGUUCGGGAAGAAAUCCUCUGGGCUAAUACCCCGGGGGGAUGACGGUACCGGAAGAAUAAGCACCGGCUAACUACGUG